rnacentral:tRNA from 1 species
GGAGAGGUGGCCGAGUGGCUGAAGGCACUCGCCUGCUAAGCGAGUAUGGGUUGAUGCCCAUCGAGGGUUCGAAUCCCUCCCUCUCCG